GGGGUUAUAGCUCAGUUGGUAGAACACUUGUCUCACAGGCACAAUGCCCUGGGUUCAAUCCCCAGCACCACCA
rnacentral:tRNA from 1 species